rnacentral:tRNA from 1 species
GCCGAGUUGAGCGCAAGCCCCGGCUAAAGGGGCAGGGUUCAGGUCCCUGUGGCGUAGGCCUGCGUGGGUUCAAAUCCCACCCCCCGCACCA